rnacentral:rRNA from 1 species
GGCCAACAUCAGUUUUGGCGGUGGGAUAAAUCCUUAGGAAUGUGGCUUGUCCUCGGAGUAAGUGUUAUAGCCUGUGGGAAUACCGCCAGCCGGGAAUGAGGACUGCGACUUUGUCAAGGAUGUUGGCAUAAU